rnacentral:lncRNA from 1 species
UUAAAUAAUUGUGUUAAUGAAAGAGAAGUCUGCUUUAUUACUAUUUUCAUACCUUCAAUAAUAAAUUUUAGUAACAUAAUAUAUAUUCACAGUGCCUCCAAAGUCUUAGUGUGGUUUCAAACUAUUAAAACUGAAGACUACAUUAGACCAUUGGGGACAUCCUGCGGAGUACUUUUACAAAAUGGACCGACUCUAUGAGUGUGGGGAUCCCAAUUUGCAGAUAAGGAAACUGAGGCACGGAAGCAUUAAGAGACUUGCCCAAAUCACAAGGCUAGUAAAUAUGAGAGCCAAGACUAACUGUAUUGUCAGGAAGAUUGGAAGUCAUGGGAUUUUCUGCACAUACUCAGAAUGAUGUCCCACACCGCAUCCCUAGCUCCAUUAAGCCUAGUAAACUACCCCGUCUUCCUUUGGCCAACAUUACUCACCCUCACCAGGUUCGAGCUACCCAAUCCCCCUGAAAGCCCCAAUUGAUGCCGAAACUGAGGCUUCUGGACAAGUCCCUGUUUGGCUUGCAAAUGCAGGUUGCAGUUGAAAACAACACGUAAAGGAAAUGAAGCAAACCGCCCAGGGCCACAUGGAUCCUGGCUGCUUGUCGAUGCCGUUUCUGGCUUAACUACAGUCAGCAAUACAAUGACCCAGGACAAUUCUGAGGGACUUGUGACAAGGAAGACUCUCCACCUCCAGAGAAAGAACUGUGGGAGUCAGAAGCAGCCCCAGAAUCUGUCAGUGCAAUGCCUCCAGAGACAGGCUGGGGAGGCCCACUGCCUGACAGCUCUGCAUGGAAAGUUUCCAAGGUACUCUGUAUUGGUUGGUGGUGAGGAGAAGAAGACUCCUGCCUCUACACUUUAGCCAUCUUAACCUGGAAGUUAUUCUGUACAUCUAGGGAAGACUAUCCAGUGGGAUAUUCUGUUAACAGAACCAUCAACAAAUGUUCAGUAGAAUAUACCAUUUCUGGAGUCCAGUUAUGAUCUGGGCCAGGCUCCUCUAGCUUUCUAGAACCUUUUUAAAGGAUCCCUGUGUUUGCCCAUUGAGGGCUAUACCACAUCCCAUGCUCCCUUCACUCCCCCACCCCGACC